UACGUAGGGUGCGAGCGUUAAUCGGAAUUACUGGGCGUAAAGCGUGCGCAGGCGGCUUCGCAAGUCAGGCGUGAAAUCCCCGGGCUUAACCUGGGAAUGGCGUCUGAAACUACGGAGCUGGAGUGUGGCAGAGGGAGGUAGAAUUCCACGUGUAGCGGUGAAAUGCGUAGAUAUGUGGAGGAAUACCGAUGGCGAAGGCAGCCCCCUGGGAUAACACUGACGCUCAUGCACGAAAGCGUGGGGAGCAAACAGG
rnacentral:rRNA from 1 species